CCUACGGGGGGCAGCAGUGAGGAAUAUUGGUCAAUGGGCGCUAGCCUUAACCAGCCAAGUAGCGUGAAGGAUGACUGCCCUCUGGGUUGUAAACUUCUUUUAUAUGGGAAUAAAGUGCAGUAUGUAUACUGCUUUGCAUGUACCUUAUGAAUAAGGAUCGGCUAACUCCGUGCCAGCAGCCGCGGUAAUACGGAGGGUCCGAGCGUUAUCCGGAUUUAUUGGGUUUAAAGGGAGCGUAGGCGGGGUGUUAAGUCAGUUGUGAAAGUUUGCGGCUCAACCGUAAAAUUGCAUUUGAUACUGGCAUCCUUGAGUACAGUAGAGGUAGGCGGAAUUCGUGGUGUAGCGGUGAAAUGCUUAGAUAUCACGAAGAACUCCGAUUGCGAAGGCAGCCUGCUGGACUGUAACUGACGCUGAUGCGCGAAAGUGUGGGUAGCAAACAGGAUUAGAUACCCCUGUAGUC
rnacentral:rRNA from 1 species